rnacentral:lncRNA from 1 species
AGCUUUAUUUUUUCCUAUUUGAGAAAGUAGUUCAAGUGAGUAGAAUAACUUCAUAAAUUAUUAUGUUAGAAAGCUUGUGAUAUUUUCUGAUUGAACUCGUGAUGGGGUACUUUUCUGGGUUCCCCUAAUUCAGUGGGGUUGAGGAUCUGAAUUCAGGCAGAGCUGUAAAAUCAGAAAUGCCUCACCUCAAGGGUUCAAAGCACUCAAAAACAA